rnacentral:lncRNA from 1 species
CCGUGCAAUGCACGGGCUUCGAUAUAUAUAAAUGAAUCAAGCAAAUGAUUAAUGUCGUCUCCAAGUUCAAACUUAAUUUUUUCCUCGUACGUCCAUCCUAGCGUGUUUGGGCAUCAAUCAGGCGCCAAGCGGGCUCCUCAAAAUCCAAAUCUCGGCUGAACUACCUGCCAUGUUAUUCGAACAUGUGGUCCCAACAUAAAAACUCCACCCCAUGACACACUCUUUCCCAUUUCUUGUCGGAUCCUUCCAUUCCCGCUCCGUUUUCCAUCGUAGCGGGACAUUUCUUCCAUUAAAAUCGGAUGAUGCCCACCUUACCUUUGCCACGGUGUUCUCUCUCCUUCACACCGUGCUUCCCCACGGUUCCGCAAGGAGGAGUCUUUUGCCAACGAACCCGCUCUCCACCAUAAACCCCCUCUCUCCGCGUGUUCGUGUCGAUUGAACACCUCCAUCAAGGCAGCGAGGCAUGCGCCGCCCGUGUGACACCCCCGAGUCAAGAAGUCAGAUUCGAUGUCAUGCAUUAACAUAAAACAAAAAAAUAUGACUUGAUGGCAAAAUAUAUGAACAACCCGCUCAUACAAUUUGCUGCAAAGUGAUCUCUAAUGAAAUGUAAUUUGUCACAUUUUCUAAAGUAAGAAAUUAUUCUGCUCACACAACAGUAACUAAACAAACCAACGCCAAUCCACAUCUCGCUUACGCUCAACCCUUACUCUUAUUCCGCUCAGACAAAAAAUGAGUUAUGAACAUGAAUGAUUUCUACAAAGUUAGGGAAUUAGAAUAUGUUUUUACAGCGCUACAAGGUUUCAGUUUGUUUAAAAAUAAUAAUACACUCGUAGAAUGAUUUUAAGCAAUCGGCA